GGCCAUGGCUCAGUAGUAGAGCAUGUGUUUUACAUGCAUCAGGUCCCUGGUUUGAUCUCUGACAUCUCCAGGUAAAGCUA